GGUAUCCAGGCGACCCUAAUGGAAAGGUGUUUGGUUAACCACGUCUGAAGGCUUCAGGGUGUUAUUGGCAGGAAGACUGAUGCAGGUUUCAUCCUGAGGUGAGAACCAGUUGAUCUGCUGCAAUAAGAGCCACCUCAUCUGUUUCUGUAGUAUUUAGUCAUGUAAAAGGCUAAAGUAACUGAUCGAUGUGACUGUUCAGAUGCAAAAUGCUCAUGUUCCUGCAGUGUCGUAUAAAAGCUAAUAAACCUAAGUGAACCACAGAUGUUGUUGUCACUCAUUUGAAACACUUCCAUGUUGAUGGGGAAGAUUUGAAGCAGUAGUCAGGAUCCAUGUCAGGGUGAAGCUGUAGCCCAUAAACACCAGGCAGGAUCCUGGUACGACCUGAGAGGAGCCCGUUUCAGUAAAAAGGCCUCAAACGUGGGUAUUUCUGUAGCUGCAUGAGGGAAGUUUUGGAUUCAUGGGAAAAGUUUCUAAAGAGUUCACCGUCUUUACAAAUGCAAAAAAUGAAAAUUCAUAAUCCGCAGGUUCCACAUAUUGACAGCUUUUACUGAAUAAAAUGCAGAGCUGGUCCGGAGCAUGCGGUUUAAUGCAGCACAUUUAACCUGUUAAACGUCAGCCUUAUUUUCUUGUUUUAUACGACGUAUUUUCUGCUUUGUUGCGGAUGUGACGUGUUUACUUUCGCUUUCAUUAACUGUAGCGUGAAGUCAUGGAGUAAAGUGGGUAAGUUACCAACUGAGCCAUUACAAGAUCAUAGUUUAUUCGCUGUUGAUUUGAUUAAUAGCCUUGGUUAGUUUCAGAUAAAUCACACUCCGCUCCUGAAGCUUUACUUUCACUUUCAGUGUCUCGUUUUUCAUGCUCCUUAGAUCAGAUCCCGCAGACAGUAGGUUUAUUGUCUCAACAGUGAAUAAAAGCGGCUGGAGCUCACAUGCGGUCCGAUCCCAUCUCCGCCCUUGUAUUAUGGUAUUUAGCGCAUCCACAUGUUUUUCCAGCUGAUUGGAGACUUGGUUCCGGACGGUUCAGUUGGAGGAGAGGCGCUGCUGGGUCCGUGGCACCGCCCGGAGCCGGAGAUGGAUUUCCAAGUGCAGGCAACCAUACGUUUGGAUUGUUUUCAAGAUAAGACACAAGUGUUUCAGAUCCUCAGGUCACACGACUUUGUGACGGAGCGUCGAAAUAGAAACGAGCUGCGCAUUAAAGGAGGGUUCGUGGACCUCAAGUCUGUGAAGUUCCAUCUGGAGCAGCUCCUAGAAGCACCAAACCCCUCCGACGUGGGCCCGUCCUCUCAUUACCCCGUUUCCCCCGGAGCUGUUCCCACAAACCACCACACCUCAGAGGCCGGAGGAACCCGAAACAGGUCUGGAUCCAGAAACAAAGUCCCACCUGCGUCCGUGUCCUCACCCAGCACCUCUGCACCUCUGCUGACGGGCUCCUCCCACAGUCUUCCUCCCUCAUUCAGCCACGGACAACACACCCUUCUUGUUGAAGGUGAUGUCUUCUACUAUGCAAAACGCGUCAGGAGCAAAGAACUCCGUGACAUUGAAGAGAGGCAUGAAGUUGCAUUAAUAUGGAGGGAAGUUGGUGAGAGUUUCCGCAUCACCUUGGAGGGGAGGAACACGAAGGAGGCUGCUGGUGAACUACAGCAGCUUGUGGAGCGUCUCCACGCGUUACUGCGCACACAGGAGGUCCCUCGUACGGACAUGGGUCCUAAAGGCCACGCCGUUCUACAGAGAAUCCAAGAGAACAGCUAUAUCUCUAAGUCAGUACUGGUGUGUGAGAUGCACGACAGGCUCCACCUCAUUGGCCCAUCGAGUGAGAGCUAUGCGUUAAAGCAGAGGCUGUUGGAGGGUUCAGGUCAUGAGGGAAGGACCUCCGACAGAAGCUCCAGGAGGAGGAGCAGCUCUCAGCCAGCGUCCAGUCGAAGGGGGGCCGUGACGGAGGCCGAAAGGAGAAGGCCCCUAAAGCAGGUGGUGAGCUGGGUUAAAGGCCUGUCUAAGAACUGAGGACGAGCAGCUGUUCAACUUUAUUGAUGAGGACGUUUUUAUGAUAAAAGCACCAACCUGAACACUACUCUAGUCCAUUUAUACUGUUGGUACAUGGUGAUAAACACUAGAAGUUCUUUGACUUAAUGAAGUAGCAAGAGUAAUAACACUACAGUUAGUAGAGGCUAAAUUAUUUAUUCAAAAUGUGCUAAAUUCAGCUAAAGGAGCAUGCACACACACACACACACUAAUAAAGCCUACACUGCUGCUGGUAAUCA
ensembl:lncRNA